AGCGCAAGCGGGAAACUAAGCGGAUCUUAAAAGUGCGGGGCUCAACCCCGUGAUGGGGUCCGAACUGGUUUUCUUGAGUGCAGGAGAGGAAAGCGGAAUUCCCAGUGUAGCGGUGAAAUGCGUAGAUAUUGGGAAGAACACCAGUGGCGAAGGCGGCUUUCUGGACUGUAACUGACGCUGAGGCUCGAAAGCUAGGGUAGCGAAG
rnacentral:rRNA from 1 species